GGGGUUGUGGCUCGGAGGCAGAGCGCAUGCCUAGCAUGCGUGAGGCACUGGGUUCGAUCCUCAGCACCACA
rnacentral:tRNA from 1 species